rnacentral:rRNA from 1 species
AGACAACUCUCAACAACGGAUAUCUUGGCUCUCGCAACGAUGAAGAACGCAGCGAAAUGCGAUACGUAGUGUGAAUUGCAGAAUUCCGUGAAUCAUCGAAUCUUUGAACGCAUAUUGCGCUCGAGGCCUCGGCUGAGAGCACGCCUGUAUGAGCGACAGCU